CUGGCUUUGGCAAGUGUGACAGUGAAGCUUGACUGCAUCAACUUGAUUGGCUUGGAAGCCACCCAAGAGAUGGGUGGAGCACACUUCUGGGUGUGUUUGGAUACCAACAGGAAAAAUAAAAUAACCCUCAUGGAAGAUUAAGAAAGAGUCUAUGUAUCGCCUUAGGGACAUAUUCUGCCUCCUCUAGAGAGAAGCACCAGGAAUGUUCAGGACUGUCUGGUCAAGGACUUUCCUCAGUAAAUUCUUC
rnacentral:lncRNA from 1 species